AAUUAACUCUACCAUACUUUGUUUAUAGGUUCUUCAAGAUUUUCCAUCUGCCAGUGCAAACAUCCCCUUCGAGUAUUUGUUUGAUCUAAUUCCACCGAUUCAGCCGCGAGCGUUUUCAAUUGCUUCAUCGCUGAUGGCUCACCCAGAUGAAAUUCAACUACUGGUGGCUGUUGUAAACUACAAAACUAAACUGUUCAAACCAAGAAGGGGGCUUUGUUCAACGUGGCUGGCCUCUCUGGACCCUUCAAACAAAGCUUUACGUAUCCCUGUAUGGGUCAAGAAAGGAACCAUAUCAUUUCCCAAGGCUUUAGAUUCACCCAUUGUUAUGAUAGGUCCAGGUACUGGUUGUGCGCCUUUUAGAAGUUUAAUUGAAGAAAGAGUGUCGCAGUCUGCCGGGGGUAAGUUGUAGUUUGGGACAAGGGAAGAGAUAGACAUCAGUUGAAUGUAACUUUGAAGCACGGACCACAGUUCACGGAGAACAAGUCUGGAGAUGGGAAAAGGAAUAUCGAGAGAGCAUUCGUUAUGUUAAAGAUUCAUGGCUGCGGUACUCAUAGGUGCGUGACA